rnacentral:antisense_RNA from 1 species
GAACACAAAAUGGCGACACGUGGUUAGCAUUCGUCGCCAACGAGAAAUUGGGGUCGGCCCGAAAGCUCUAGAAUGCACCCCUAUUCCUCCCCGGGGCCAUUCCCGCUCAACGAGUUUUAUGACCUAAAAAACCCCACAGGCUGGUCUGAAGGUCGGAGGCCUAAUUUUAACGCGUUUUCCUCCCUUUAAUUUGAAACGGGAACGCGAAUAACUAAAAUAGGAAGACACUUAAAGAUGAAGUGCUUAAUUCAAGGUCACAGAAUGUCGGGGAUGGACCUCCAGAUUUCCUUACUGGAAAACAAGCUCAGGGCUCCCACUGAUUGUACAUUAUGAGACAGAGUCUUCUUGCUAUGUUGCCCAGGCUGGUCUUGAACUCCUAACCUCAAGCGAUCCUCCCAUCUUGGCCUCCCAGGUGUCAGGAUUACAGGCAUGUGCUAUCACACCCAACCUGAUACAUUGCCUUUAUAAAUUUUUUUUUCUUUAUUCUAAAAAACAGAAAAAACAAAACUGGAUACAUGUGCAGAACAUGCAGACCAAGUGUGUUGGGGACUUGAGAUAUGUACAUGAGUGUUUGUGAUGUUUCCUGGUGAAAGCACAGGUGAGACGUGGUCUUGUAACACAGUGGUUAAGAAUGUGACUUUGGAGCCAGCCUGCUAGGGGCUGAAUUCUGACUCAGCCAUUUAUUAACUGUGUGACCUUAGGCUGGCGUGCAAUGGCGUGAUCUCGGCUCACCACAACCUCUGCUUCCCGGGUUCAAGCGAUUCUCCUGCCUCAGCCUCCCGAGUACCUGGGACUACAGGCACUCGCCACCAU